AGAGUUUGAUCCGGGCUCAGAUUGAACGCUGGCGGCAGGCUUAACACAUGCAAGUCGAGCGGCAGCGGAAAGAAGCUUGCUUCUUUGCCGGCGAGCGGCGGACGGGUGAGUAAUGUCUGGGGAUCUGCCCGAUGGAGGGGGAUAACUACUGGAAACGGUAGCUAAUACCGCAUAAUGUCGCAAGACCAAAGUGGGGGACCUUCGGGCCUCACACCAUCGGAUGAACCCAGAUGGGAUUAGCUAGUAGGUGGGGUAAUGGCUCACCUAGGCGACGAUCCCUAGCUGGUCUGAGAGGAUGACCAGCCACACUGGAACUGAGACACGGUCCAGACUCCUACGGGAGGCAGCAGUGGGGAAUAUUGCACAAUAGGGGAAACCCUGAUGCAGCCAUGCCGCGUGUGUGAAGAAGGCCUUCGGGUUGUAAAGCACUUUCAGCGGGGAGGAAGGCAAUGGCGUUAAUAGUGUCAUUGAUUGACGUUACCCGCAGAAGAAGCACCGGCUAACUCCGUGCCAGCAGCCGCGGUAAUACGGAGGGUGCGAGCGUUAAUCGGAAUUACUGGGCGUAAAGCGUACGCAGGCGGUCUGUUAAGUCAGAUGUGAAAUCCCCGGGCUUAACCUGGGAACUGCAUUUGAAACUGGCAGGCUAGAGUCUCGUAGAGGGGGGUAGAAUUCCAGGUGUAGCGGUGAAAUGCGUAGAGAUCUGGAGGAAUACCGGUGGCGAAGGCGGCCCCCUGGACGAAGACUGACGCUCAGGUACGAAAGCGUGGGGAGCAAACAGGAUUAGAUACCCUGGUAGUCCACGCUGUAAACGAUGUCGAUUUGAAGGUUGUGGUCUUGAGCCGUGGCUUUCGGAGCUAACGCGUUAAAUCGACCGCCUGGGGAGUACGGCCGCAAGGUUAAAACUCAAAUGAAUUGACGGGGGCCCGCACAAGCGGUGGAGCAUGUGGUUUAA
rnacentral:rRNA from 1 species